rnacentral:rRNA from 1 species
UGGGGAAUAUUGGACAAUGGGGGGAACCCUGAUCCAGCCAUGCCGCGUGUGUGAAGAAGGCCUUAUGGUUGUAAAGCACUUUAAGCAGUGAAGAAUACAUCAUGGCUAAUAUCCGUGAUGAAUGACAUUAGCUGCAGAAUAAGCACCGGCUAACUCUGUGCCAGCAGCCGCGGUAAUACAGAGGGUGCGAGCGUUAAUCGGAAUUACUGGGCGUAAAGCGAGCGUAGGUGGUUUAUUAAGUCAGAUGUGAAAUCCCUGGGCUUAACCUAGGAACUGCAUCUGAUACUGACAAACUAGAGUAGGUGAGAGGAAAGUAGAAUUCCAGGUGUAGCGGUGAAAUGCGUAGAGAUCUGGAGGAAUACCGAUGGCGAAGGCAGCUUUCUGGCAUCAUACUGACACUGAGGUUCGAAAGCGUGGGUAGCGAACAGGAUUAGAUACCCUGGUAGUCCACGCCGUAAACGAUGUCUACCAGUCGUUGGGUCUUUUAAAGACUUAGUGACGCAGUUAACGCGAUAAGUAGACCGCCUGGGGAGUACGGCCGCAAGGUUA